UACGUAGGUGGCGAGCGUUGUCCGGAAUCAUUGGGCGUAAAGAGCGUGUAGGCGGCUCGGUAAGUCCGCUGUAAAAGUCCAGGGCUCAACCCUGGAAAGCCGGUGGAAACUGUCGAGCUAGAGUCCGGAAGAGGCGAGUGGAAUUCCUGGUGUAGCGGUGAAAUGCGCAGAUAUCAGGAGGAACACCAAUGGCGAAGGCAGCUCGCUGGGACGGUACUGACGCUGAGACGCGAAAGCGUGGGGAGCAAACAGG
rnacentral:rRNA from 1 species